AGUGUUCAGCCCCUUAACCUAAGGAGGAGCUACACAAAUGAAGAACUGUGGAACUGACCUCAGAUGCUCUCUCGUUGGAAAUUGGCACGCAAACCACAACCACGAUGGCGGCUUCUGAGAGGUGGAGGAGAGGGGUGUGGCAAAGCAGCAAGGAAGGGGGUCUGGGGUCCAGCCCAGCUGGGACAGUGAAGGUUCCCUGUUCAAGGGUAAGUAGGCCUUGAUCACCUGCUUCAGGUUUGUGGCAGAUGAACUGAUAAAAUGCAAUGAAAGACAAGAAGCCAGUGUCAGCACGUAACACGCAUCUUUGAUGUAUGAUCAGGAACAAAAUCAUGGGCAGCCCAAGUGGCUGUUUUAACUCAGUGUGGGGACAGCUGUAAGGAGCAAAGGUGAUUGUUUUAUGUAUUCAGCCAUCGGAGAGCCUUGCUUUCAAAUGCUCACUUUCUAAUUAAGAAACAAAGUAUCCUGUUUGAUUGGCAGCCACAGUGGAUGAAGUCCCCAAGAGGGAAGUAAAUGCCACCUGUGAUCUGGGAGAGAAAGAGAAUCAAAGGACACAGAAGCUGCUGCCUCCUGCCCUUACCACAGCCAUCCUGGGAACAUCGUUUGUUUGUUUAGUCUUUAGAUCAUUCACUGGCUGAUUCAGUCAUUCCCUGGUUCAUUAUACAUUCAUUCAUUCAUUCAUUCAUAACUCAUUCUUUGUUUCUCUCAUACAUCAACUAACUCACAACUUGCCUUACUCACUGUGACAGCUGACAUUCAUUGAGAUGCUGUGUGACAGACACAGGCAUUGCAGAUGAAUUUUGUAGUUUGUACUAAAAACUACAAACAUUACUGAGAGAAAAUCAAGAAGGUCUAAAUAAAUGAAGUGAUAGACUCUAAUUUUGAAUUGGAAGACUUAAUAUCUUACUAUGUCAAUUCCUUUUAAAUUGAUUUGUAGAUAAAAAUGUAACCCCUAUUAAAAUCCUAGCAAGAUUUUUUUUAAAAAUUGAUAAACGUAUUAUAAAACAUUUAUGGAAAGCCAAAGGGCCUACAAUAACCCCAACAAUCUUGACAAGAACAAAUUUGGGAAACAUUUUCUGAUGUCAAGAUUUUUUCAAGAUUUGCUAAUAGGUUGAGUACUUGUGUGUAGCCUGUUGCUCCACAGGAGUCCCUACAAGCUGAUAUGGCAGAAACAAUGCUGUAUGUGAAAUAAAGAUCAAGGCAACAGUCUUGCCCUCAGUAGGCUCCCAGGUGCGUUCACUGUUCUCUGAGCUUUCGUCUUCUCUGGCUGAAUUCUAGUCCUGUAGCCAGUGCCCCAUGCAGCUGCUGGGAGUACCCCCAGCGCCGUUUCCCCCACACCAGCUUAUAGGG
rnacentral:lncRNA from 1 species